GAACUAUUCUGUCAUGAUAGACAUCAGAAUAUAGUUACCUUGGCGACUGGCUAGUGAGGGACACGAGGAAGUGUUCCGGCGGAUGGAAAUGUCUGUAUGUUUCUUGACCUGGGUGGAGGUUACAUGAACAUAUACACAAGAAAAAAUUCAUUAUGCAUCUUACUUCCUGUGUUAUUUGUCAUUCUUGAGAGAUGCCAGGCAAGAGCAGAGAACAAGAGAACAAGUUUGUGAACUUCUUGUCACCAACAGACAACUGAGACCCAAACAAAUGUCAGUGUUACUCUGAGAAGAAAAUAAUGGAGUGAUCCCCAAGAAAAAAAGCUCUGCAUAAUAUCAUAGCUUCUGAGGUUUGGAAAAUGUCCCUGGUGUCUGGAAAAAAAUGGAGAGAAUCACUUUACUCUUUCAGAUUAACUGGCAUUUCCAUCACCUCCAAAGCCG
rnacentral:lncRNA from 1 species